GCUGGGCAUGGUGGCUCACGCCUGUAAUCCCAACUACUUGGGAGGCUGAGGCAGAGGAAUUGCUUGAACCCAGGAGGCAGAGGUUGCAGUGAGCUGAGGUCAUGCCACUGAACUCCAGCAUGGGCAACAGAGCAAGACUCCGCCUCAA
rnacentral:SRP_RNA from 1 species